UGAAAAGCGUCGAAAUGGAGGUUUUGGUGAUAGUGGAGAAUGCGGGGGGGUGAAAAUAGCGAUUUUUUGUUCAAUUCCUGGCAAUGGCGAUUUUUGGUGGGUCCCAAAACCACCGUUUUUUGCCCCAAAAUUGUUUACUGACACGAAGUCGUUUUUCCUCCAAAAAACGCCAUUUUGGGGCUCUAAAAUUGCACUUUUUUAAAUGAAAUGAGAAUUUUCGUGUACAGAUUGAGGCGAUUUGGGUCCAAAGUGAGAAAGAAAACCCGAAUUUUGGUGCUAAAACGGUGAAAAAAAGCACUGCUAAAAAUCACCAUUUUCGGUCAGGACGGAUUGAGGGAUUACGGGUUGAAAAAGAGGAUUUUUGGGCAAAUUUCUGCCUCAAAACACACGUUUUUGGUUGGAAAAUUCUCUUUUUGAUGUUUUCCCCUUCAGCCUUUCUUUCAAUUCAAAACUUUGUAUUCUCUUCACAGAAAUUAUGAUUUUUGCAGGUUUUCUUUGCCCCAAAAUGGAUUUCCUAACACAAAUUCAUUUUUCCUCCGAAAAAACGCCAUUUUGGGGCCAUAAAAUGGCAUUUUUUGUUAUAAAACAGUAUUUUUGUGUUCAGGUUGAGAUCAAGGAGAUGAUUUUGGGUCCAAAGUCAGAAACAAACCCCAAAUUUUGGUGCUAAAACAGAGAAAAAGACCACUGCUAAAAACCACCAUUUUCGGUCCAAACGGAUCGAGGGAUUUGGGGGCAGAAAAGGGGAUUUUUGGGCAAAUUUCUGCCUCAAAACACACGUUUUUGGUUGGAAAAUUCUAUUUUUGAUGUUUCCAUCUUCAGUGCUUUUUUCGAUUCAAAACCUUGCAUUCUGUUCACAAAAAUUAUGAUUUUUGCAAGUUUUCUUUGCCCCAAAAUGGAUUUCCUAACACAAAUUCAUUUUUCCUCCGAAAAACGCCAUUUUGGGGCCAUAAAAUGGCAUUUUUUGUUAUAAAACAGUAUUUUUGUGUUCAGGUUGAGAUCAAGGAGAUGAUUUUGGGUCCAAAGUGAGAAAGAAAACCC
ensembl:lncRNA